rnacentral:rRNA from 1 species
GACGAACGCUGGCGGCGUGCUUAACACAUGCAAGUCGAGCGGAAAGGCCCUUCGGGGUACUCGAGCGGCGAACGGGUGAGUAACACGUGAGUAACCUGCCCCAGACUUUGGGAUAACCCUCGGAAACGGGGGCUAAUACCCGAUACGACACAGCUUCGCAUGGGGUCUGUGUGGAAAGUUUUUCGGUUUGAGAUGGGCUCGCGGCCUAUCAGCUUGUUGGUGGGGUGAUGGCCUACCAAGGCGACGACGGGUAGCCGGCCUGAGAGGGCGACCGGCCACACUGGGACUGAGGCACGGCCCAGACUCCUACGGGAGGCAGCAGUGGGGAAUAUUGCACAAUGGGCGGAAGCCUGAUGCAGCGACGCCGCGUGAGGGAUGACGGCCUUCGGGUUGUAAACCUCUUUCAGCAGGGACGAAGCGUAAGUGACGGUACCUGCAGAAGAAGCGCCGGCCAACUACGUG